rnacentral:RNase_P_RNA from 2 species
CUCGAAGGUCGGAUGAUCGCUUCUAAUAAAUUUAGAGGAGGAAAGUCCGGGCUCCACGGAAAGAGGAUGCUGGAUAACGUCCAGCGAGGGUAACCUUAGGGAAAGUGCCACAGAAAAUAUACCGCCAGCUUUUGUCUGGUAAGGGUGAAAUGGUGCGGUAAGAGCGCACCGCACCUCUGGUAACAGAGGUGGCAGGGUAAACCCCAUCCGGAGCAAGACCAAAUAGGGACGAUAGUUAGGGAAACCUAAAGGCGACUUUCCGCGUUAUCGUCCGGGUAGGUCGCGUGAAGCUUUUGGUAACAAAAGCUCCAGAUGAAUGAUCAUCCCUGGUCAUACCAGGACAGAACCCGGCUUAUAGACCUUCGAGCUUA